AAACACAGGCAGCACUUUCAUUUUAUGAUUUGUUUAUCCACAUACAUGACCGACUGCCGUAGAGUAGACCAACAGUCCAACGUACUCAUGUAGCUCGACAAGCUAUCCAAGCUGCUGCUUUAUAUGAACUGAAAGUGCUGAAUUUUCUCCUGCAUCCUGGAAGGCUUUGGAUGGCACGGUCUUGUGCAGAGGUCUCAUUGUUGUUAACCUGUUUCUUCAAAACUGCAUGUACAGCAACAUUUUCUCCUGGCAGUGCUGCAAUGGAAUUGAAAAGAAUGGUGAUUCUUAUUAUAGUAUAAUUGUGAUGUAUAGGCUGGGACGCAAAGCGAUGAAUGUACAUGCAUGAGCAAGGAAGAAGGGGAUGGAACAGAACAGAGCAAGAACGAACUGCCAGAGCAAGAAGAUGAACGUUAUCUGUAUAGAUAAAAAAUUUUAAUAAAAAUUUUCAUGAGUUAUCCUUUGUCUGGGGCUACAGUACCAAUCCUGCAUUUCGAAUUUGGGACUGCCCUCCUUCAUGGUGUGAUCCAAAUUUCAACAAAAAUUAUCGUAGUGUGGCUACGGUUGUUUCAUACGAUAACUGUCAAUGACACGGUGGCACAUGCAGCUGCGCACGUAGGACAGAACCGCCAACUCACCCCGCCACGUCAACUCCUCUCAACAGCGAUGCUCCCCAAGCGAGCAGAGCAGCGAAGCCCGCCUCGAAAUCUCCGCCACCCCCAUCGAACUUGCCACACGCCACCACCACGGGAUCUCCCUCCACAGUCUCCGCUCCCACUCCCCCGCCACAGCCAUGGCCGCCGCCGCAGCAGCGCACUCCCUCCUGCACCCACCGGCGGCCCGCAAGGCCCCCACAAGUUCUUCCUCUCCUUCCCCUUCCCCAUUCCUCCGCCUCCCGGCCCCCGCGCGCCCGCGCCUCCCGCUACGCCUCCGCUCCACCUCCCCGGCCGCCGCCUCCGACCUCACCGACUUCCCCAACCCGAACGGCAUCCUCGCGCCCAUCGACGUGGACGCCGCCACGGAGGCGGAGCUUCGCGAGAACGGGUUCCGGAGCACGCGCCGCACCAAGCUCGUCUGCACCGUGGGCCCGGCCACCUCGUCGCCCGAGCAGCUCGAGGCGCUCUCCGUCGGCGGGAUGAACGUCGCCCGCCUCAACAUGUGCCACGGGGACCGGGAGUGGCACCGGGGCGUCAUCAGGGCAGUCAGGAGGCUCAACGAGGAGAAGGGCUACGCCGUCGCCGUCAUGAUGGACACCGAGGGCAGCGAGAUCCACAUGGGGGACCUCGGCGGCGCCUCAUCGGCCAAGGCGGAGGUGAGGUGCUGUGCUUGUAUGUAAGCUGCUGUCCAGUUUUGGACUUGGCGUUGCAGUUUUCAGUUUUCAGAUUGUACGCCUUCACUUGAACGUAUUCCGUGAAAUGUGCUUGUGCAAUGUGGAUGAGAGGAACGGGUGGUGGCAGUGGCAGUGUCAGGCAUUGCCGUUUCAUACUUCUGCAAAACCUAGCGAGUCAGGAUUUCACCAAAAUGUUUUUUUUCCAUCUUCAAAAUGGCUCAGUUGAUUUAGAUUUUCAGCUCAUGUUUGAAAUUGCUAUAGAAGGAGAAUCAUUCAGAAUUUCAGAUUGUCAUCAAACACUGGAUUGUGAAAGUGGUAAUCAUUUUCAAGGCUUUCAAUCUUUCAAAAAAAAAUCAAGGCUUUCAGUAUCAGUGCAACUCAAAUAAAGUGCAUGGUAAACAUCACCAUGUUUUGGCUUUCUCUGCAUAUAAGACAGGGUGCUGGAGUGGUUCGACCGCGUUGAGGUCCCAAUCCAACCGGUCGGGUUUUUUUCUAGGUGUCAAGUUUGAGUGCUUACCCGUAUUGACAUCCCAAUCCAACCGGGCGAGUCUUGUUUAUUUUUCGUUUCUUUUCCUUUUCCUGCCUAUGGCCUCCCAGGGCUGUAGUCUUGUAUUUUCUGCUAUAUCAAUACAAACUCGCACUAUCUUGUGCGGUUCGUUCAAAAAAAAAGUGAUAGGCAUUGAGGUUCUGAAGGUUGUUUUUUAGAUCUUAGGCCCAAGCCUCAAAUGGCUUUUUUCCCCCUGUUGCAAACCUUCCUUUAAGUAUUGCAUCUAGCACCGGGGAAAACACAGGAAUAUCUUUCAUUUCAGCAACAGAAUCUCUUAUAAAAAGGGCGUACCCAGUGCGAAAGCUCCCACACAAGGUGGGGUCUGGGGAAGGGAAUUCCUAGACAACCUUAUCCUUGCAAUAUUCUUUUAAAAUUCUGCAAAGAGGCUGGUUCGAACCCAGGACCUCCGGGCCACAAGUGGAGAGUUUAAUUUGAAUUAGCUUUAUUAGUAGAAUGCUUGGCCCAUUUAUUGGUAAAUGGUAAAAUUCAUAAAGAUUAUCCUUAUUCCGUUAAUCAAUUUUAGGUGUUUAACUUGCAGCAAAUUCGAACAAUGACAGACAUGCAGCAUAUUGUUAGUUCAUCUGUAAGACUUAGCUUGCUGGUUUAAUGCUUUGUUAAAGGUUUGAAGUUAAUGUGUCUACUGGUAGCUACUGAAUCUCUUUAUAGUUUAUUUAUAUCUUUUUUCUUUAUUAGUAUAAAGCCAUGUAGAAGUUUUCAGAAUACUGAAAUUUCUAGUGUUCGUUUUGUGGAGUCUCUCCACCUACAUCCUUUUUUACAACUGCAUUUCAGAUCCUUCAGUUAUAGCAUGAAUAUUUUUUAAAAAAGAAACUUCUAGGUAUAUUCUUGCCCGUAGUUAAUGUUAGUGUCUGAUGAUAGUUGUGUUUUAGAUAAUACAUUAAUAUUAGUAAUCCAAAGAAACUGAACUACUUCUAUGAUUCUAACUGUCAUCAGUGCUAGCUAGGGUCACUAUGCCAAAAGGAGAUUAUAUCACCAUUCGGCUGUUUAUCUUAAGUUUUUAACCAUACAGUCAGAAGUUUGAUUGUACACCUAUUCAAUAAUCCUAGGUUUUCUUGAGCCACGUUAUUUACCCAAUGACUUCCAUUUUUCUUGGAAUUAAAACAUUUCUGAAGUAACUAAUAAAUCAUCUCACAUUUGUUGGAUUCCACAGGAUGAAGAAGUCUGGACAUUUAGUGUUAGGUCAUUUGAAUUGCCUCUCCCAGAACGAACUAUUAAUGUGAUUAUGACGGGUUUGCUGAAGGUAUAUAAGCUGACCUAUUUGUUGAUAUCUUUCGCUGUUAUUGUUCACUGCCAUAAUUUUGCAUCAAAAUCCUACACAGAUGUGAGAGUUGGUGAUGAGCUUCUUGUGGAUGGUGGAAUGGCUCGGUUUGAGGUGAUUGAGAAGUUGGGACCAGAUGUUAAGUGUCGCUGCACGGAUCCUGGUUUAUUGUUGCCACGUGCGAAUCUUACAUUCUGGCGUGAUGGCAGUAUUGUCCGUGAGAGGAAUGCUAUGCUUCCUACAAUUUCAUCAAAGGUAAAUGCAGUAGCAUAAUAAAUUUCUUGCUGCAAUUACCAAAAGACCGCAAAACUUUGUUAAUCUAUGCCCCCCCUUGGUACUAGUAUUGCAAUGGAUUUACAGCUUGUUUUUUCUGUCAAUGCCAUGGUCAGUUCAAAACAACAUGUAUUAGUUCAAAGCCUUACAUUGUGCACUGAAACUCAUCUCUCGAUAGUUUUUGUCAGCUAUUUCUUAAGAAGGCUUCUACCACCUAGAGUUGUUUAACUGAAAAUUUAAUCUUCUAGUAGCAGAUACUAAUAUUUUAAGUUUAUAACAAUGCUGCUCCUUUUCUUGUGACAACUUGUGCAGGAUUGGCUUGACAUAGACUUUGGAAUUGCCGAAGGUGUAGAUUUCAUCGCUGUUUCAUUUGUCAAGUCAGCAGAAGUAAUUAAACAUUUUAAAAGCUACAUAGCUGCAAGGAGCCGUGGCAGGUACCAGGAGUAUAAUUCUGUACUGUUAUUUAAGUUUAUGCUUUCUUGGAAAAGCCAUAUUUGACAUUAUUAAACUGAUAACGGGUGUUCCUAGAACUGUUCUGCAUGCUUAGCCACUGUUUGUGGUUGGUUCCUGGUCAGUCCCAGAUGAUUACUCAUACUGGUAGGGUUUUAGUUGUAUUCUAACCCCCAAAAAAUCAGCCUGGAAUAUAUUGGUUUCUAUGUAGUUACUAGAGAAAACAGUGAAUCAACAAGAUAUCCCCUUUCUGGUGUUCCUCCUUUUCUAAAUAAUGCUGUGGAACAACAUGAUUCACGGAAGAAUAAUAAGAACUGUUUAAAAUUGUAUGGCUUGCCUCAACCUGGUGUCUUCUCUGUGCCAAAAAAACAACACUUGGUGUCAGGUGUCAUCUCAGCACCUACAAUUCAUCUGCAUGCACUAGAAAAAUUGUGUGUGUGUAGCUCCUGCCAAAAUUGCCAGUUUGCCAUUGUACGUCCAUCUCAUGUUUUGUGGCUAAAACUCAGUUAGUGACACAAAAAGUUACCUAGAUUAAAAUCGCUAAUCCCAAACCGCAAGUGAUAUCAAUCUUGCUAUGUUAUCUUUUAUACUUCAAUUAAUUGGGCCUUGCAAACAUCCAAAUCAGAAAGGAUUGCUAGUACCGUGUUUCUGAAAUGUUUCCUUCAUUUUGCUGAACUUUAUAGGUUCCUUACUCUAAUAAUGCUUUAUUUUAUAUGAUCAGUGAUAAGCAGUCAUUGCGAAAAUUGAGAGCAUUGACUCUUUAAAGAACCUGGAGGAGAUCAUCCGAGCAUCAGAUGGUGCCAUGGUAGCCACUCUGGAUAUGGGGGCACAGGUUCCCUUGGAGCAGGUCCCCUCAAUACAAUAAAAGAUAGUUCAACUGUGCAGGCAGCUCAACAAGCCAGUCAUUGUUGCUUCUCAGCUCCUUGAAUCAAUGGUCGAGUAUCCUACUCCCACAAGGGCCGAAGUUGCCGAUGUUUCUGAAGCUGUCCGCGCCAGCGUGCGGAUGCUCUAAUGCUUUCUGGUGAGUCAGCAAUGGGAAGAUAUCCAGAGAAGGCUCUUAGUGUUCUGAGGAGCGUUAGCCUCAGGAUUGAGAAGUGGUGGCGGGAGGAGAAGCGACAUGAGGCACUGGAACUUCAAGGUGUUUCAUCUUCAUUCUCUGACAAGAUAUCAGAAGAAAUCUGCAACUCGGCAGCUAAAAUGGGUAAGUACUGCCACCAUCGUAUUCAGUGCAUACCAUAGUUAUGUUGUCAUAGCAACUGAUAUAGCAGCUGACGCCAUCUUUGUUUUCACAAAGACUGGCCACAUGGCCUCCUUGCUCUCACAGUGCCGUCCUGACUGCCCAGUUUUCGCCUUCACAACAUCGACGUCCGUCAGGAGGCGGCUAAACCGUCAGUGGGGCCUCAUCCCAUUCCGCCUCAGCUUAGCAACUGAUAUAUUCAAUUGCUUUGCUGUCUCAUCUUCCUAUUAUUGUCCAUUAUCUUGGUUACUGACAGAACAUUUAGAUUCCAUUUUCUUAGAAGCUGUGUCUAAACAAAACCAAUUUCAUCUGCAGCUAACGGCCUGGGAGCUGACGCCGUCUUUGUUUUCACAAAGACUGGCCACAUGGCCUCCUUGCUCUCACGGUGCUGUCCUGACUGCCCAGUUUUCGCCUUCACAACGUCGACGUCCGUCAGGAGGCGGCUAAACCUUCAGUGGGGCCUCAUCCCAUUCCGCCUCAGCUUCUCAGACGACAUGGAGAGCAACCUGAACCGCACCUUCUCCCUGCUAAAGGCCAGGGGCAUGAUCCAGUCUGGCGACCUGGUGAUCGCCCUCUCUGACAUGCUGCAGUCCAUCCAGGUGAUGAACGUACCCUAAGAAAGAGCCUAAUCCUCUGUGGGAUGAUCAUAUGAGAUGGAAGAUGGACCAUGAACUUUAUCGGCACCUUGAAGGACAGUUCCUUGCACCAAAAUUAUUCGCUUUCACCCUGUAUUAGAUGCUGGGCAGGACUAGAGAACUGUGGCAAUAAUUUGCAGCUUUGUGCCCUGCUGUAAAACUGUUAUAUUACUAUUAGCUUUAUUUAUAGUCUGACCUUGGGGUGACUCUUUAAUGUGCAAGCUUUGGGUCUUGCUGUGGGCCGUAAUGGGCUUAUAAGUGAAGCGCAGGGAGAAGAGGAAGAACCCGCUGAAGAACAUGGCUGCUGUGCUCAAGCUCAACCCCUACCUCGGCACUGCCCGCAAGAUGGCUACCCUCGCUAAGGUUGCCCACAUCAAGGCAAGGAAGGAGAAGCUCGAAUCCAAGAGGACCAAGCUUAGCCCGGUAUGACCAUUUUUCUCCCUCCAUUUCAUUUCUGAUUAUGUCAAUAAUACCUGAAUUGAUCACUUAGAUUGCACAUGUAGUUCUGGUGUACUGUUUAUGACUUGUAGUGUUUGCUAUGGUACAUUUUCUGCCCCUUGUAUGAAUGGUUUAAUUUGUUUGAUGUAUCAUAAUUUGAGCAAAUUUCAUUGCUUGAAAGUAUUAGUACUGGAGUUCUGUGUGAAUAACAUGAUUCUGCUGUAGUGAUUCUUGUUGUUGUUUAGUUAUGUGCAUUGAUCUAAUGUUGUGCCAACAAAUAUUCUUGUAAUUGCGCGUUUGUGCUGUAUCAGUAUGCAUGGGUAAUCUAGUUUGUCAUUGUUUACUAUUUGCUCAGGGUGUUUCGGUACCCUUAAUUGCUUUUAGUAAGGCAUUUGUCUAUGUUCUGUUCCAUUUCUUUAUAUGCUAGUAGAUAUCUGAGCAAUUGUUUGUUCUACUCUUUUCUUAGAAAUGAUUUAUGGUACUGGAAGCUUCGGUAAUCUUUGCAUAUAUGGCAUAUGACAUGCCCUGGUAACUCAUGGGUCAGGGUUUAUCUUGAAUGUUUUAGUUCGAUCCCUCUUGUUGAUUUGUGUUCUGAAUUGGUAACUUGGGACUAUGCCUUGUUAGAAUGUGAUGAAUAGAUUGAUGUUUUACUAAGCGUUUUGAUUACAGAAUACUAGAAUGAAUGUUAUUACAUUAUCCAUGUUUCGAACUGAAUCCCAAAAUUUACUGAAUCCCUUCACAUCCAUAUAUCUCCUGAAUAUUUGUUUAACUGUAUAGUUUGAUAUGUUUACAUUGUUGUCAAGAUUCUUUGUUGCAUGCCCAUAUAUCUUCUGAACACUACAGAACUGACCAAUAUGUGAACUACUGUUGGUUUAAUGUAUCAGAUGCUGAUUAUUUCGUUCAGCUGUAUGCCCUUUUGUCAACAAACACGUACUGAACAAUAUCUGUAGAUCCAUUGUUGUAGGAGGAGGCUGCCAAGGUCAAGGCUGCUGGAAAGGCAUGGCACAGGACCAUGAUCUCAGACAGCGACUACACCGAGUUUGAGAACUUCUCAAAGUGGCUCGGCGUGACUCAGUGAGCGGGUGCUAUCUAGUUAAGUUUUGAGUAGUAGUGUGGCUGAACUUAUCUCGAGAGGGUUUAUCACUUUGUUUUAUCCUGCAUCAUCAUAAGAAUUCAAUCUGUGGGAUUUUAAGACAAGUCUUCCUUUUUGUUAAUGCGUUGCUGUGAAAUCAUUCUAGUAAAUAUUCACCUUGACGAUCUUUUGGAAGGACAGCGACCACAAAAAUUAUGAAUUGGGUAGAUGGAGGAUUUAUGUGCUGUAUUGAGAGAGCCCGUAGGUGCUAGAUUUCUCCGGAAACGUUCGAUUUAAGCUUGUAGAUAUUGUGAUGAAUCCCGUCACCAUUUUCCCAUGAAACAUUCUGAAAGUUCUGGUAGUGGUAUCCACUGCUGCAGUUUUACAAGCAUGUAGGGUUGUUCCUCUGUUUGUUGAUUAGGUAUUAUGUUUUGCACAGUCUUAAAGUUUAGAAGGUAAUUACCCAGGUGUUCAAGUAUACCUUCAAGUUUUUUUUUACACAGUGUACAUAUUACCUUGUUAUAGUGAGAACAGAGAAGUCCACCGCAAAAGUAAAGCCCAGCAUAUAUUGUUCUUGCAAUAGACCAUGUGUGUAUAUGCCCCUUUGUAGGUUGAUUAUUCCAUUCAGAACAUAGCAUGGACCUCUAUAGUGUUUUGGAUAAAUUUUUUUAUUAUAAAGGUACUUGCCGAGGCACCAAUUUGGGAGUCUGCGGGGUAAAAUGUUCCCGGCGUACUUCAUAUUGAUAUCAGUGUGUUCAGCGAUAUCUGUUGCAGCAUUUGCAUACCUGCAUGGAUUCCUUCUUUCGGCCCUUAUCUGUAACCUUUCAAACCUUCUGGUCAUCACACCUAUGAUGGUUGAAGUAAAAUACUUUGUUUGUGGCCUUGAGCUUUUUACUACCUCUCGUUUUGCAUUUGCCAGAUGCUAGUGUGCUAGUUAUACAGAAUAUCACAAAAUUAUAGUUUGAGUAUGUGAUAAUAUCGGUACUAAUGAAUGGAAUCUUACACUUUUGAUAUGCAAUUUUGAGAUUUACUUUGCUGAUGGUAGUAGAGGUAUGUAAAGCAAAAGAAAGUUACUUUUAAAUUAUUAGUUAUAUGGUUAUAUUUUAUAGGUCAGCGAUUUCUGAGUACUAGUCAUAGCAGCGCUCACAGGAAUAUACUGACUUGUUCUUUAUUUUAUUUUCAAGAAUUAAUACAGAUAGCAUAAAGCAGAAUCCAGUCCAUGAAUAGUUAGCGAUCUAGCAUCUGGAGGUGAAAAUCUAGCUUGGUUAGAACUUAGAAGCAUAGUUGUGGAUAAAAUUUGUGGGAAUCUAAUUUGACAAAACAAGUAGACAUGUCUGGCUGCAUAUAUGAACCUUUCAAACUGCAUCUUAUUGUUUCUGAGAUCUGAUUGGUGUUUUUUCCACAUUUGCAUUGUAGCACACAUCACUUGGAUAUUGUUUUAGAGAGCAAACUUGACAAUCGAGAUAUCUUGAUUGCUGAAAUCGAUGCUGACAAUGUUCUGUUAUUUGAGUAGGAUAGGGGUUAUACAUAAAAAAAAUAAGAAGAGAGAAUGUGCCUUGCAGGCUUGUACUUUGGUUGGUUGAGCAUUGCUCUUUGUAGUUUGCGCUUUAAUUUUCACCUGUGCCUAUUGAAUUGCUCUCUUUCACCUAGAUGAUGAUGAAGAGGUACAAGAUAGAAGGACCUCGUGAGGCCGGGUACUCCAAGAAUGAGGAGAUGGCCAAGAGGAACCCUGCCCUGGCGGCAAUCAGUCAGAAGUUCAGGAUGAUCCACGUGCUGUCGUCACUGGCCAGCCCCAUGUCCUUCGGCAGCCUGGCCAUCCACUCCUGAUACCUCCCCAGCAAGCUCGACCCGUGACUGCCUGACCGAGUGUUAGCUGGUGCCUGGUGAGUGGUGACCUACGAACUCUGAACUUAGCCUAGGUUUCUGUGGAGAAAAAAGAAGUCAUGUCUGUGCAAGAACAUUGGUCCUCGGGAUGAUAUGAUUAGCCUUUAAUAAUGUACAUAAUGCAGGAAGUUCGUUUCAUUUUGUAAUUUGUGUAUAGGAAAUGUGUCUGUGGCAAAUUCCUGAUAUUUUACAGUCAAGAAAUGCAGCUAAACAUGGUCUCUCGGCUCAUGGAGCUUGGGUACAAAGAAAUGACUAGGAUCUUCUGGAACUUUUAGAAUGCCUACUAUCUGAAAAAAAAAUAUUGGCCAGAGAUGACGAGUUUGGUAUGCAUUCCUGAACACUGGUUUCUCUUGUCUGGUGGUCCAAAACCAUAUGGCGUUCCUUCAUCUAGGCCAAAUCUAUUAUAUUCACUUUCUGAAGAUAAUAUCCAGUGAAGCCAAGCCGAAGUCUAGAAAACAAGUCCACAUUGCAAACUGAAGAAUUUAGCAUAUGGAACUCCAUGCUCUAGUCUUUCAUCCUUCUUCAAGCUGAAGUCCUUGAUUUUGAUCACAAAACAAGUCCCAGACUGCAAGUUGAAGAAUAUAUAGCAUAUUGAUCGAGCUCCAUGCUCCAGCUUUUUAUCCUUAUAUUUUCUUUUGAACUAUGGCGUGUUUGAACUCUGUGUCCGCUCCAGCGUAAGCAAAACACAUACACAGCUAGCACUUUCAUUUCAUGACGUGUUUGUCUACAUUACUGCAGAAGUACUUGCCAUAGAAUAGGUCAACAAUCCAACAUACUACUACUCAUGUUGUUGUUCGACAAGCUGUCUAAGCUGCUGCUUGAAUACGAACUGAAAGUGCUGAACUUUGUCCAUGUUAUGUUGGUAGUAUAUCUAAUACUGAACGGUGUGCAGGGUGAUCCUGCAAGGCUUUUAGAUAGCACGGUCUUGUGCAGAGGUUACGUCUGCUCUGUUUCUUCAAAGUUACGUCUGCUCUGUUUCUUCAAAGUUACGUCUUGCAAUUGCCGUAACAUUUCUGCUGGUAAUUCUGUAAUCUCUACUAUAAAAAAAGCAAAGAGGACACAAAAAUGCGGUCCGUCGUUUGGCCGCCGGGCGAUGUCCCUCGCUCCAGACAUUUUGGGCCGUCCGCUUGCAGCACCCUCCGCGCGCAGCCGUUGAUUUGGAGAUUCCGUGAGUUGCGGUGCACGCGCUUCCUCCUCUGUCCGUUUCCCUCCGCGCGGAUCCCUUCCUCCUGCGGUCCUGCCCAUGCGUCGCCAUCCGCCGCCGACGCAACUCCCUCAGUCGCGCCGCCUGCCGCCGCCGCCGCCACUCCCUCCGUCGCCGCAACUUCUCCCUCCCUGCGUCGCCAUCCGCCGCCGCCCCUCCCUUUCUUCACCUCCGCGCCGCCAGAAACCCCCGUCCCUGCCUGCGUCGCCAUCCGCCACCGCCCCUCCCUUUCCUCGCCUCCGCGCCGCCGGAAGCCACCGCCCCUCCCUUUCCUCGCCUCCGCGCCACCAGAAGUCACCGCCCCAUCUUGAGUCGCCUCAUCGCCGCAAGCGACUCCGCCCCUCCCUGAGUCGACGGAACACCAACAGUCGAGGCUACGCUGCACGCCAACUAGAUUUCUCAGUUCGUUGGGUUUGAUCACGGUACCUCUCAGUUUCUUAGUUUGUCGUGCAUCUGAACUUUGUGUGACGUUCAUGUUCUUGUCAUUUGAUUUGUUUGGUCGGUGUUCAUGUUCUUAGAAUCUGGUGCUACGUGACAUUAUAGGCGGUGUUGUGUUUUCUGAAUUGUCGGCGACUUGAAAAUUUGAGAUUCAGAUCGUGAUUUGUUUAGGUGGACAAUUAAAAUUUGAUGAUAUGUCCUUCCCGAGAGCGAAUUGCGCGCGCACAGCGGCGGCAAUGGCACCGCCGCGUUCGCACCUGCUGCCCGCCUUGCUCGUCCUGAAUUGUCGGCGACUUGAAAAUUUGAGAUUCAGAUCGUGAUUUGUUUAGGUGGACAAUUAAAAUUUGAUGAUAUGUCCUUCCCGAGAGCGAAACGUAUUAACUGUGGUAAUUGAGGAUGGUAGAGAUAAUUUACUCUGCAUGUAAACUGAGGACUGAGAUUCAAGAGUAAUCAUAGAACACGUAGACCACAUUGACUGGAAAAUUAGUCCUCUCCAAUUUUUGCUGAUCUGUCCCUGAUAGUACAUAAUUAUUUUGCCACUUUUUGUGCAAGCUUAUCGAUGUACGAAUUCAUAAUGGAAAGUAAGGAUUGCGAUAGUAGGGAUUGGGAUAUUUGUUAUGCUUAUCGAUGCUUAUGGCAAUGCUUCAUAAAAGUAGUAUACACCGCCGUGCACUUCGAAUUCAUGAUGGACAGUAGGGAUUGUGAUAUGUGAUAUGCUUAAGGCAAUGCUUCAUAAAAAGAGUAUGCACCUCCGAGCACUUCAAGUGUACUCUGAUGCACACACAAGCACACAGUUCUAGAUGGUUAAGCCGGUCUGUGAUUAGCAAGAUUUUCAUGAGAAUGGUAUCAGUUAUCAGACAUUCUGUGAUAUCUUGAAUGGAAAAAUAAAAUCAAAAAGGAAAGCACGAUAAAUAGAUAAUUUUUCUUGAAUUCUCCCAUAUUCAGAAAAUUGACUGACCGAGUGUGGAUAACUCCUUUUUUUUGUUACUUGGACCUCAGUUGGCCUUUAUAUUACUCUGAAUAUGUAAGAUUUCAAUAAACAGUAAAUUUGAGGAGGAUUUGCUAUCAUCUUUUGAAUCGUUCAUCCCGGUGGCAGAUUUCUUGAUUGCCUUAAUUGGGGCUGCCCCAGUUAAUGAGAACUAAAUAGCUCUCAUGAUGAAAACAAGUGUUAUUCAUAACAGCUACUUGUAGUGAUGGUGUCUGGCAGAGUACCUUGCUUAUCCAGUGCUUUCCUGUGACAUUCCAUUUUGCUUUUCUCUUGAAGGGUGUUUAUGUUCGUCGGGUUGUGCCUACUGCUCCAGCAAGCAGUGUUUUGUGAAAGGUAACAUGUAGUAAUUAGAUCCAGUUCACAUAUUGAAUACCUUUGGUUGUCCUCCAAUUUUUGCUGAUCUAUCCCACAUAAUUUUUCUUCUUUUUUCCACACAAUUUUUCUUCUUCUUGCCACAUAAUUUUUGCGGCUACCAUGUUUGACAAUAAAAAUUGGUAUACAGUCAUCUACAAAAAUCAUCCCCUGGAUACAAAUAGUACAUCCCCCUGGUACAAAUAGUACAUCCCCCUGGUUAGCAAUUUUGCAGAUGUAGAAGUACAGUUCCAUUACCGGUUAACCACUAUCUACGUUUUUAUUUUCACUAGGAGUUACAUUAAAAUAAUUCAUUCAUAUGUUCUGUAUAAAGGAAUAGACAAAAAUGGCACCACUUUGUUUUACCUAUGUACAAAUAACUGUCUGAUUGGAUAUUACAACAACAAACAAGAAAAGGCUUCAUGAUCAUUUGAAUUAGAACUACAACCUAAAAAAUAAAUGAUCUGUCCAGUUAUUAAUAUUCUGGUUUCAUACUGCAAAAUAGAAAAGUGAUUAAAACAAGUCCAAGUAAUCUGUCCUGCUGCACUUUCUUAUCUAUAAUCCUGAUGCCAAUUUGUUUCAUGUGCCUGGAAGUGAUGGGAGAAGGUGCAGGAGAAGGAUUUAGAAGUUCUUAAUUUGCAGGUGCAAUUUUUUUAUGUGACGCAUCUAUGUGACGCUUGACUUAUCUUAUUUCCAAAAUCUAACACUUCAUACUCGUGCUAAUGAUUAGAACCUGAUGAUUGGGAAGCUGAUGAGGAUGUCGAUCUCGAGACAGCUAAUGAAGAUUCCAACAAACCCGAUGUACCGGAUCCAAACGAUGCGGUUUAUGCCAAUGUCCCUGACGAGACACACAUGCUCAAGCUAGAGGAUAACUGCAAGCACUGCAAUGCAAAGAAGUUUGAGUCCGAGCCACCUGGAUUCUGUUGUCAUAGUGGAAAGAUUCAUCUUUCCACCCCUGAGACACCACCGGAACUCGUGAGACUGUGGUUGAGCUCGGACGCUGAUGCUAGGCAUUUCCGUGCAAACAUCAGAUAUUUCAAUGAACACUUCUCUUUCACUUCUCUGCACUGUAAACUUGAUCGUGUGACCACCGACAUGACAAACUGUGGAAUUUACACAUUUCGUGCCCAUGACCAAAUCUACCAUAACAUAUGAUCAUUUGGUAAAGAGGAUGGUCACGAACCUGGACACCUCGAGCUUUAUUUUUACGACGUCGAUCUGUCUCUUGAGCAUAGGCUCCGCAAGUGCCGUGAGAAGUCUGCCCAAUACAUGGCAUUAAUCCCUGCUUAGAGAAUCUUAGGAGUAUAGGCCAGGUUGACAACCUUGAGGAUUACUCUGUCGAGUUGAACCUUGACCAACGGCUAGACCAGAGAACAUAUAAUGUGCCAUUAACGUCGUUGCUGCCGUUUGGAUUGAGGGGAGCGAGCGUCGGGUCCAGUUCGAUAAUAGUGCUGUCCUCCAAAGGAAGGAUAGGUCGAUCCAUGGUAUUCGGCCCUAUCGUGUGUGCUACGAUGCUCUCUCAUACCUGCUAUUCUUUCCAAGAGGUGAGCUCGGGUGGCACAACUGCAUUCCAAAAGUUGGUGUGACUGAGGUUGAAGUAAAUAAAGCUCGAGCGAUCUGCAAGGCGCGUGCUGAUGGUGGUGGCGACAAUGAUGCUGGUAAAUUCAUAUGUCAUUAUAGUGUCUUACAAACAUUAGACAAAAUUUCCGCAUGUCGUCAAUCACGGCCGCCUUUUUUUGGUUCGUCGUUUGGCUUCGUUUGUCUGCCACGCCGCUCAGUUUUUCACAAGAACAGUCCGUCUCCCCGCCCACGUUCGCCGACAGACGCACCUCACCUCCUCCGUGCUGAACCCGGCCGCACCUCCUCCAUCCGCCCUCCGCCACUUAGCCAAGCCGUGCCUCACCUCCUCUGUCCUCCGAGCGCGGAACCACGCCUGCGCUUUCCCCGCCUGGCCGCACCUCCUACCUGCUACGCUCGGCCGCAGCUCCUCUGUUCGCCGCCAAGCCGGGCCACCUCCGUCCGCUGGGCGUCCAACACCGGCGCGCCACUGCCCAGCUACCCCUCCACACCCCUCCACACCGGCGCCAUCCCCGGCUGCUCCUCCAUGAAGGGAUCUCCAAGUUAGUCCCAUAUGCAGCGGAGGUGAGAAGAUGGAGGCACGAGAGGUGGGGCCUAUGUCGAGCCCGGUGUCAUCUGCCUUCAUGAAGGGAUCUCCAGGUUAGUCCCUUAUGCAUGCAAACAAAUCUAAUCAGCAGCCUCUCCUUUGCACCAACGAACAGAUCCAAUUGUUCUUGAAAAUCAGGUCCAAGUUCACAUCUCUUUUGCCCUCCCACUCAAAGCACAAUCAGCCAGCGCGACAGGGAUGGCGACACAGACACCGACGGCUGGAGCUCCCUCAAUGCUGCCAGGUAAUUGACUAGCCAAUUACUAUUUGGAUGUGAUGCACAUUGGUCACGGAUUUGUAAAUCUAUCAGUUCCUGCUUCCUGCAUCCAUUUGUGCAGUUCUUGUGGUGGAUGCAGUGCACUGAGUAUAGAAAUUAUUUUUGAUUACUUCUGUGAAACGUUUUGGCCUUGGCAAGUAUGUACAGAUUUAGUUGUUGUUUUUUCAGUCAGAGGUGAGCUACGUGUAUGGGAAAGAAACACUUGAUUGCUUGUUCUAGAUCUUGCCUUCAUAUAAACUGUGAUGCUAUCAACAUGGAGAUUUGAUGCUUUCUACUCUCUCUAUUUAACAUGGAAAAGAACUCGUGUUUACUCAAUAAUGCUUAUGAAUUUUCCUUAGAGUUGCAUUUAUUCAUCAUUCUAAAGUAUUCCGUGUCAAGUAAACUCAUACUUCUAAUUUUUCAAAAAAAAAAUCUGAAAUCAAUGAACCCCUCCUUCCUUGUGAAAUUGUUGUACCUUUUUCCUUAUGACAUCUUAUCUACUUCCACUUUCCUGGUGCAGAAUUUUUGAAAGUAGGAAACGUAAGCAAUGACAGUGACAGUCGCAGCAAUACUGAGCUCAAUAGGUGAACUAGACAAACCAUUCUGCUGUAGUUCAUUUUAUCACUGCAGUCAUCAUCAGACAAUGAGGUCAGAACCAGCAGGUUCGCAGAGUGACUUGUGACUUGUGGAUAAUCCUGCAGAUUCAACAAUGGUAAAGUAACGAAUGGUUAAGGUAUAAGUAGAUUUACUCAAUUAUACUCCAAUAGCUAAUGCAUUGCAUAUAUUGCUUGGCCGUGUAUAUAAAUAUUACAUCACUGUUCAACAUAAGUAAAUAGCUUAGUCCUUCUUAAGUCCAUUUUGGUAAAAGCUAUAGUUCAAUUAGUUUUCUUGAUUUUCUUAAAAUUUUACUCAGUUUGUGCCUUAUGUUGUACAUUUGCCUCACGGGCUGGCUAACUGACCUACAUGAGGCUGGCUAACUGAUCUGGAGGUUCACUAUCUAUGUUCUUUCAUUUCAUUGUCAAACAUAGAUAUUCUGAAUCUGAAAGUCUGUUGAAAUUUCCUAUGGAGUCUUGUGGUACCUUUAGUGUUUCUUAUCAUGUCCAGUAGAAGGUCUUGGAAAACAUAUUUGCAAUACAUGAUAUUUUUUAAAUCAAAAGUAGUAAUAUGCUGUGUAAUUGCCUUCUUGCCUCCUGACAUGUGGCAAAUUCAUUGAGCGUUUUCACUUACAUCGCUGGCAUAUUCAGUGAACAACGCAAAGAUGAUGGUUUUGAGUGAGCGGUCCUUUGGUCAAGGUAAUUUUAGAGCAUUGAUUUUCAAUGUACUUGUAAAGCCAAGAGAAAGUUGAGCAGGGCACAUUCAGUUGUUAACUGGACUGUUGGCUUGCUGCUAUGGAAACAUGUUUUCAGCCUUAUUACUUGCCGAGUUUACAUUGGGAUCUGAAAACUGGACUGUGUGCCAUUAGUUUUGUCUGUCUCCAGGACAUUGCCCAUGCACAUGAACUGACUGAUUACCAUGAAAAUUCACCUGUUUCAGUUCCAAACUAAUUAUUGCUUCAAGGUCACAAAGCUAUAUGAAAAUCUGUAUCCAAUUGAAUGCCAGAACUCUCUAGGAUGAUGUCAGGCAUUCCCAUUUAUAGGUUAACCUGAAGUGAUUCUUGAAGAUUAGUUUCUGCGUGGUUGAUUUGAAUUGUUUGUAAUAUUGUAUGCUUCAUCUUGAUUACUAUCAAUUUCACAGGUCAUGUUCAUUGUGAGGAAUGGAGCGCAAUAAUGCUUUGUGGUAACUCUGGGCAGACGAAAAUAGGCCACCUCUCCCAUUUUCUUGAUAUUUAUUUUCUGAUAUCUGACUAUUGUAUUUGUCGUGAAAUUUAAAUUGUAGACGCUAACAGAUCAUGUGUCACCUCAUGCUUUGAUCAUGUGAAAAAAUUCAGUGUAUUUACCCAUGAUCGGUGCCUUGCCCCGAGGGGUCUUUAAUUCCUGAAUUAGGCAACGGUGAAUUUUCUUCUUAAUAUAUAGAUGCACAGCUCUCCCGCAUGUUCGAGAAAAAUGAGGCAACAGUGACACAGCGCUGGUAGAAAGUAGAAAGUGAAGAAGCGGUUUGAGCAUAUUGCUACUGACAGCUACCUCCGCAAGAUUUGGCCGGUACUGCAAGCUCUGAGUUUCACAACUCUGAACCACUUGGUAAAAAACAGUCUGAAUUUUGUGUUGUGAUUAACUGACUAGACAUCCGAAUAAAUUAAUGUACUGAUAUUCUGAAAUUUGUUUUAGCACCGGGACUCUCUGGACUAUCCGGUGGAAUCAGGCCUUGGCAGGACUGAGGCAGAUGUGGGGGGUGACACCGUGCAGGUGAGGUGGUGGCGGUACCUGGCUCUGGCAUCUCCCUUUAUCCGCUUGAUGGAAUGGCAGCAUGGGUAUGGAGACACCAUCAGCAUCUAAACAAGGCCCAAAAGGUACAAAGAUAUGAUUUAAUCACUUUUGAUUUGUUUAUUUGCUAUCAUAUAAAUUGCAGUAACAGGUCUUGAGUAAUAUGUCAAUGCUAUAAUUUUGCUUGCUUGUUGUGUGUCCUCUCUAAAAUCUUUUCUUUACCAUAUAUAUCCAUAUGCACAAGAUAUUUGCAGUUACAAGUAUAAUCCUCAAGGAGUGAAAAGCUUGGGAUUCUGUUCGUGCAGGCAACAGGCAUUGAUCGCUAAUCAGCAUGGCCUCCACAAGUACCCAUCAUGGGAAGUGCAGCAAUCAGUAUUGUGUUCAAACCUGAAGAAAAUAUAUGGGGAUGGCUGGGUGGCUGCACAGCUCAUGGCAGGGACCAAUUUGGAGUCUGCAUCUUCUUUCCCACAUAUAUAUGAUAUUUCCAUAUAUUGUCAGGAUGCUAUUAAACUGCCUUCACCAGAUUACAAUAAACUAUGAACUUCAGAACUUUAAUUUUCGAUAAGUUGGAGUCGACGCUUAAAACUUCAGAGCUUUAUUUACUCCCAAGUACCAACAGCUCUAAAUUUUUGUGCACUGCACCCUUAGUUUUUUAGUGAACAAUACUGAUUGCUGAGGUUAUAAUGCAUCUUGCUAUGUGGGACUAUAGUUUUGUCAAGUAAGGCUAUGUACACAUUGAUAAAUCUGCUUCAGAAUAAUAUUGCUAAUAUCUCACUAUCUGAACAGAGUCAGGUUUAUCAGUUAUUUAUAGAAGACUUGCUUGUUAGAAAAGACCUAAAUAGGUUUUCUUUGUCUAUGUGAAUUUUCGGGGAAUUCUGCUUAUCUUCCACGGAUAGAUGCUACUUCUCCUGUAAUAUCGAAUUGGGUCAUGUGUGUGUGAGCUCUUUGCUUGCCAAAGGAGCUUGUGACUUGCAACUACUACUACUUAUUCAAUGAUCUCUAAUAACUGAAUCAUUUUGUUCAGAUUCUAAUUAUCAGGUCUUUUCCUCAUCUCUUUAUGUUUUGAGGUGUUGGAUGAGAAAGGGUUAAUGGUGGUUGCUACCAUUCUACAAGAAAUUAGAGCUUGCCAUUAUGAGUGCUGUAGUUGAAGUGGGGUUAAUGUUAAACCAUGAUGGUACCUAGGAGACUUCAUCCAUUUGAAUAUUCUACACUCAAGAAACAGAAAGGUGACAGUUGUCAAAUACAUAUUAUGAACCAGCUGAAAUUAAAAUAUUCUUGUAUUCCUCAGAUUAUUUGUGUCAUGCAAACUCCACUUUAGAAAAUUCCAUUCUAAAUUGUUGUUUGAGAUUAUGUACCAUUCUAAUAUGAUCUCAUGGGGAAUUAUUUAGCCCGUAGCAACGCACGGGCACGAUUCUAGUGGAAUUGAAAAGAAUAGAGAUCGCGUAUGACAAGAGUACUCUAGGUAAUAUUUCUUCAAAUACCGAUUCAACUCCCUCAUUUUCACUUCAAUAUUUUCACCAAUGGUAUAGAAAUAGAACUUGAUGAAGCAUGCAUGGCAUUAGCUAUUUCAUUAAGUAGCUCAUUUGAAUACCACGUCUCAUCGAGCAAAACAUCUCGAAUUGCUAGCAACAUCUUCAAGAAAAGGUGGGCUGUAGGAUGCCUCACUUAAAGCAUCAUGAAUGUCCUUUACUGCUUUGUUAUUCACACUAGCAUUGUCUAAUGUCAAGGUAAACAGCUGUUCAAUCAACUCCCACUUCAUCAACCACAACUUCUUGUCCUAGAUCCAUAUCACCUAGAUGACACAACUUCUUAGCCUUCGGCCUAGUAUCUUCCAAGUGAACAAAAGAGCCUGGAAUGUGAAUAAGAUCAACAAAUUUGAAUAGAAUACCAACUUGUUUUGGUUUACUGACUGCUUGUAUUUUUAAUACUACAAUGAGUAGGUUUGAAGAAAAUAUGAUUCUGAAUAUGAUGCAGUUGUUUUGGCUCACAGCUAACUGUAUUUUGUUCCCAUGAUAAAACAAUUCUGAUCAGAAAUCUUGUUUUUUCACUUCAGAUUAGAAGUAAUGUAAGAUGUCAGAUUAAUGGACGAUGAGGAGCAUAAGUUUUAGGCUUUGAGGACACGCAGUGCCCCUCCAAUUGCAUACUGAUACUGCUAAAACGAAAGGGGACUGAGGUGACUGGGAUAUCAUCAGUAUCAGAUAUACUAGCAGCUAUGUUCAUGAGCUUCUAUGUGGUGAAACAAGCUGGAGAUGACUAAGGUAUUGGAGCUUUUUUUCACAGAACAGUAGGACCAUUUUCACGAGAUUCAACUGCCUGAUCUUAACUGAAUGGUAAACAUAAGCAAUACCAGUAUGCAACCAACAAAAGAUCUUGCACUCCCAUCUUACAUUCUCUAAAACAGUAACAAUUCUAAGUUCACAGAUCUAGUGGUACUAAAAAGCUCAAUGAACGAAUUUAAUUUGCCAAUGCCAUCCUCCUGCCCUACAAAACCCAAAAACUCAAGCAGAUUGAAGCUGCAAAGGAGAGUUUAAAAAUAGCCAACACUAGCAGAAUACUGCACGAACUAGGCACAGCGCAGUAUAAACAAAAAGACAAAUAGGAAAGGCAAACACAUCAGAUGAAAAUCACCUGCACGCCGACGCCACCUGCGUCCGCUGCUGAGGCCGCCUGCUCUUGCUGGCCGCCGCGCGUCGGCCUAGCCGCACGCCCUGCCGGAGCCCGCCGGGGGCCGGCCCCACGGGAGCGCCUCGCGGCGGCGCGCCGCUCGCCCGUCCCGCCGGCCGCCGCCCGCCCGGAUCCCGCGCGGGCCCCGCCCACCCCCACACGAGCCUGGACAGGCCACACGAGCCUUGCGCCGCCCACCCCCGCACCGCCCGGAUCUUGAGUUCUUGCGCCGCCGCCGCCGCACGAGCCUGGAGAGGCCGUGAAAAAGAGGAGAGGCCCUUUCCUGCGAUCCACGGGCUCGGCCCUUCCAAUUGACUCAAGGAUCGAUUAUGGGCCACGUUCACAGGUCAGCCCUUUUAUGGAGAUGGCCCGAUCUGAUCCUGCCCAUUCUUCGGGAAGGCCUUUUAAGGCUCGGCCUAUAUGAGCUUCUAAGGCCCGAUCGGUUUGGCCCUUGGAUUUUUACAGCCCUUUACCAGGCUUAAGUAUAGGUAUAAGGUUUUCUACGUAUCUAAAAUAUUUUCCACUAGAAAAGGUUUUCUACGUAUGUAAAAUAUUUCCACUUGACUACCCGAUAAGGCAAUCAUUCGUGUGGCACAUGCCCGGGGCCUACUCGGAAAGUGAGUGCGCAUCCUCUCACAUGAUUGGACACAUCCACUUGACUCCUCAAAGGUCGUCAAUGCUUGCAGCUUGCAUUUUCCACAGAAGCAGCAGCUCUUGAACCCACUGUCCAGCAUCUCCCUCUCCACCCACCAACACUGUGUUUCCCUGUCUACUGCGCGUGUGUUUUGGAGCUCCCGGCGUAGCCAUGGCUGAGGUACUGGCCACCAUGGUGGUCGGGCCACUGCUGUCCAUGGUGAAGGAGAAGGCCUCCAGCUACCUCCUGGACCAGUACCAGGUGAUGGAGGGCAUGGAGGAGCAGCACGAGGUUCUCAAGCGCAAGCUGCUAGCCAUCCUCGACGUCAUCACCGACGCAGAGGAGCAGGCGGCGAAGCACAGAGAGGGGGCGAAAGCUUGGCUUGAGGCGGUCCGGAAGGUGGCCUACAAGGCGAAUGAUGUCCUCGACGAGUUCAAGUACGAGGCGCUUCGCCGCAAAGCCAAGGCGGAGGGCCACUACAAGGCGCUCGGCAUGGAUGUAAUAAAGCUCUUCCCUUCUCACAACCGUGUUGUGUUCCGUUAUAAGAUGGCAAAAAGGCUCUGCAUGAUCUUGCGAGAAAUUGAUGUCCUCGUCGCAGAGAUGAAUGCGUUCAGGUUCAAAUUCAAACCGCAGCCGCAAAUGCCCAUGCAAUGGAGGCAGACGGAUGCUUGCAUCCCCACUGAGUCUGUGGGCAUUGCCAGCAAAUCAAGAGCUCAAGAGACGAAGGUUCUUGUUGAUCGAUUGCUUGCUGGAGCCAGCAGUAAGGAUCUCAUGGUCCUUCCGAUAGUCGGAAUGGGGGGGUUGGGCAAGACCACCUUAGCGCAGCUCGUUUACAAUGACCCUGAAAUUCAGAAGCAUUUCGAGUUGCGGCUCUGGGUGUGUGUCUCUAAUGAUUUUGAUGUGGAUUCCCUGGCUAACAGAAUAGUGAAAGAGAAUGGUUGUCAAGCAAGUGGAAGUUCACGAGCACUGCAUAAUCUGAAAAAGGCAGUGAGUUGGAAGAGGUACCUCCUCGUAUUGGAUGAUGUGUGGAACCGUGAUGAGCCCAGCAAGUGGGAAAGGCUGAAGUCCUACCUUCUGCAUGGUGGCUGCGGUAGCUCAGUGCUGACAACAACUCGCGAUGAAGCUGUUGCUAAACUAAUGAUGGGUACAACUGAAGGAGCCUAUAAACUUGGAAGCUUGGAUGAAGAGUCCAUAGGGAAAAUUAUCAAGGCAAGAGCAUUCGGUUCAAAACAAGAAAAGGAAUGGCCUGGUGAACUAGUUGACAUGGUUGGUGAAGUUGCCCAGAGAUGUGCUGGUUCUCCUUUAGCUGCUACGGCAUUGGGCUCUUUACUGGGUACCAAGACCAACAAGAAAGAAUGGGAGGAUGUACUAAAUGGAAGGACGAUUUGUGAUGAGGAAAAUGGGAUUUUACCAGUACUUGAACUAAGUUACCAUUGCUUGCCAUCAUACAUGCGGCAAUGCUUUGCUUUCUGUGCUAUGUUUCCCAAGGAUUAUGAGAUUGACGUGCAAAUGCUAAUCCACUUGUGGGUGGCCAAUGGUUUUAUCCCGGAGCAAUCAGGAGUGUGUCCUGAAACUAUUGGAGAAAAUACAUUCAAUGAGCUGAAGUCAAGGUCAUUUUUUCAGGUUUUGAAGAAUGUCCCAUUUGAAAAAAUAUAUUCAUAUGAAGAGGGUUAUAAGGACAUGUCUUGUUCUAGAAUUACUUGUAAGAUCCAUCACCUUAUGCAUGAUGUUGCACAGUCUGUUGUGGGAAAAGAAUGUGCUGCAAUAGCUACACACCAAAGUGAAAGAGCGGAUGUUCUUCGUUCAGCUCGUCACUUGUAUUUGUCAAUCCGUCGACCAGAAACUCUUCUGAAUGCUUCCCAAGAGAAAGGAUCUCCAGCUUUUCAAACACUGAUUUGUGACGGAUAUGUACAAGGAGAUUUGAAGAUUUUAUCAAAAUACAACUCUAUAAGAGCUUUAAAGAUCGAUUGUGGUUCAAUCCUAAGGCCGAAAUAUCUUCAUCACCUGAGGUAUCUGGAUCUCUCGAGAAGUGGUAUUAGAGCACUUCCUAAAGACAUUAGCAUCCUAUAUUAUCUGCAAACACUGAACCUUUCUUACUGUGAGUGGCUUGAACGACUUCCAAAGCAACUGAAGUAUUUGACUGGCCUCCGUCACCUCUACACUCAUGGAUGUUGGGAGUUGAAAAGCAUGCCCCCAGAGCUCGGACGCCUAACUUCCCUACAGGCGCUUACAUACUUUGUAGCAGGUGCCGACGACUCCGGUUGCAGUAAUUUGGGAGAGCUGCAGAAUUUGGACCUUGGUGGUACACUGAAGCUAAGCAAGCUAGAAAAUGUGACAGGAGCAGAUGCACAAGCAGCAGGUCUUGGAAACAAGAAAAAACUGACCGAACUGGAGUUAUUUUGGACCGAUAGUGACCAGGAAGCACAGAAUAAUAAUCAUAAAGAGGUGGUGGAAGGUCUCAAACCUCAUGAUGAGUUGAAGGCUCUGAGGAUAAAUCACUGUAGGAGCAGAACUUUUCCAACGUGGAUGAAUACUUUGAAAGGCAUGGUGAACCUGAAAUUAUUCCAUUGCAAAAAGCUCGAAGAGCUUCCUGCACUCUGGGAGCUACCAGCUCUGCAAAUUCUUAGCCUGGAGGGUUUGGAGAGUUUACAUUGUUUGUGCAGCGGUGGUACUACACCCGUCAGAUUUCCAAAACUGAAGGUGCUUACCUUGUUAGAUAUGGCAAAAUUUGAGGCAUGGUGGGAGACAUAUGGGGUACAAGGAGAAGAGCCGAUAUUUCCUGAGGUUGAGAAGCUCGUGAUUGGGAGGUGUAAAAGUUUGACUGCAUUACCAAAAGCAGCGUCGGUGAUUACAGAAUUAUCUGGUAGAGUUGACACUAAGUGCCGCUCUGCAUUUCCAGCAUUGAGGAAAAUGACGCUAGGUGAGUUGACUGUGUUUGAAAGAUGGGAGGCAGCCGAAGGAACUCCAGGAGAAGAGGUAACAUUUCCUCUGCUGGAGUAUGUGGAAAUUUAUGGCUGCCCGAAGUUGACUGAUCUACCUGAAGCACCCAAGCUAAGUGAAUUAUCCAUAACAAAAGGACUUGGUCAACAACAACAACAAAUAUCCCUAGAGGCAGCUAGCAGAUGCAUCCCAUCAUUGUCCCGUCUGGAUCUGGAAGUGUCACCCGAUGACACAGAAACAACAUUGCUGCAUGUCAAGAAGAAAUUGAAUCGUACACUCGCCCUACCACAUAUGAGGUUAGGUUGGUGCGACGUUUUUUUCUCCUCCCGCUCAAGCGCACUGGCGCUAUGGACAUGUUUUGCACAUCUAGUAGAUUUGGAGAUUUGCGAUUGCGAUGCUCUUGUCUACUGGCCAGAAAACGUGUUCCAGGUCCUGGUAUGCCUGAGGAACUUAGUGAUCUCCAGAUGCAGCAAACUGACAGGACGCACACAAGCUUCUGAUGAGCAAUCUGCUCCAGCUCCAGAACGUGGUGGACUCCUGCCAUGCCUGGAGUCUCUAAAGAUAGAAGAAUGUGAAUCUCUGGCAUCUCUACAUAUGUGGAAUUGCAGUGGCUUGUCAGAGGUUGCCAAUCUUCCUCCGUCUAUCAAGAUCUUGUACAUUUCUAACUGCGGCAAGCUUCAAUCCUUAUCAGGUGACUGGUAUACUUAUCAGCUGGAAGAACUCACGCUUCGUAGAUGCGAAAGACUGGUAUCCUUACCGGAUGGGCCUCUAGCAUACUAUUUUCUUAGAGUUCUUUGGAUUGAAAAUUGUGAUGGUAUAAAGUUGCUCCCACCAAGUCUACAGAGCCGUUUGGGUUACCUCGUGGAGAAAGAUCUAGACGCCCGUCACGAAGGUAAUCUCCAGUUUCUCUGUUUCUUUUAACAAAAUGAUCAGGAGCUCAAUUGUUGUUGCCUAAAAUGCAACUCUGUGCUUAAACAUUAUUCUGUUAGCUAUUACAAGAUGCGGUAGGAUUCAGUGAUAAAAAUUUAACGAGCGCAGUAUUUAGAACCUUUAGCCAACUGAUGUUGAUAUAUACAUUAUAUCGAGUACAGUGCACUACUAGUACCUAUAUUUAUGUGCACUUGUAUCACUUAAAUCCAUUAACUUUCAUAUAUUGCACAUUCGGGGUAUCCAAACACUUACAGCUGGAUCAAGAAGUUUAUGCACCAAUAUACACUUCACUUUAUUGUAGUCAUCCUUGUAUAUCUCCUUUUUGUCCGUACAAAGAAUUUAUAGCUAUAAGAUGACCUUUGUUGUUCACUUUUGAUACCUUGGUUGUAAACUUGUAAUUGCUAACUCGAAUCAUGUAAUAAAAUCAAUCAUCUUCCUUUAGUUGUAUUUAAAGCAGCAUGGCAUCAUGGAAUUAUUGCAGCCGAAUUCACUAGCUCCAAUUAAAGUGGCACUUGUCCUAGCGUUUAUCUGGACAUUCACUAGCUCCAUUCUAUACAGUUCAAGUAUUUGUACUUUAUAAUUUCGUGUUGAUUUCCAUGCAUAUAUUCUAACAUCAUCUAUUUUUUUGAAAGGAAAAGGCACGAGAUUGUGCCUAUUUCAUUGAUAAAGAUGGGUUACAGCCGGCUAGCCGGUUAGAGAAAAGGAUACAGGAAAAGACAGAGAGGUCCCCCCCCGGUGAGACAUCUAUGGCAGGAUCGCCGCUAAGACUUUCGCCCCUGCUGUUAUCCACAUGUCAGGAUCGCCGCUAACAUCAUCUAUGAUCAUGACCUCAUUGCCAGAACCAACGAGCAGUAAACGUUCAAUCAGGAAGCUGGUGUGCUCGAAAUAGUAGAUCAAGGCCUGACCAAAGAAAGUCAUCUCCUAGGUAUUUUUUGCAAAGAUAUCACCAAGUCAUCUCCAAUGUAUCAUAUGCGCAUUCUGAAGAUAUUCUCCAGUAAAGUCAAGGCAAAGUCCUAGAUUUUGAGCAGAAAACAAGUCCUAGAUUGCAAGCUGAAGAAUUUAGCACACAGAGCUGCGUGCUCCAGUCUUUUAUCCUUCUUCGAACCGAAGACCUUUAUUUUGAGCAGAAACGAAGUCCCAGACUGCAAGCAGAAGAAUUUAGCAUACAGAGCUGCGGGCUCCAGUUUUUUAUCCUUUUUUUUUUUCUUUUGAGCCAUGACGUGUUUGCAUUCGUGUCUGGUUCAGCCUCCAGCACGAGCGAAACACAGGCAGCACUUUCAUUUUAUGAUUUGUCUAUCCACAUACAUGAAUGACUGCCAUAGAGUAGACCAACGGUCCAACGUACUCAUGUUGUUGCUCGACAAGCUGUCCAAGCUGCUGCUUUAUAUGAACUGAAAGUGCUGAAUUUUCUCCUGCAUCCUGGAAGGCUUUGGAUGGCACGGUCUUGUGCAGAGGUCUCAUUGUUGUUAACCUGUUUCUUCAAAACUGCAUGUGCAGCAACAUUUUCUCCUGGCAGUGCUGCAAUCGAAUUGAAAAGAAUGGUGAUUCUUAUUAUAGUAUAAUUGUUAUGUAUAAGCUGGGACGCAAAGCAAUGGAUGUACAUGAGCAAGGAAGAAGCUCCGGAUGCAGGGGAUGGAACAGAACAGAGACUCUGUCAACAGCGAUGCUCCCCAAGCGAGCAGAGGCAGAGCAGCGAAGCCCGCCUCGCAAUCUCCGCUACCCCCAUCGAAGUUGCCACACGCCACCGCAUCUCCCUCCACUCCGCUCCCACUCCCCCGCCACCCCCAUCGAAGUUGCCACUGCAUCUCCCUCCACAGUCUCCGCUCCCACUCCCCCGCCACCGCCAUGGCCGCCGCCGCAGCAGCGCACUCCCUCCUGCACCCACCGGCGGCCCGCAAGGCCCCCACAC
rnacentral:lncRNA from 1 species